AUGGUCAAUAAACCACACAACUUUAUAGGUGGGGUGUUUCAUGUGCAUAGCAACACUAGUGAGAUUCUUGUGGUUAGAGGCUUGAAGGCAAUGAGUUCUGGCAUGAUGCCAUAUCAUUAUACUAUCAAGCUGCCGGGUGACUGUUGGAAUGGUUGCUUUAGCCAAUCAAUGGGGCUUUUGCAGUGCGCAUUUCCAGAGGAGGGCGGCAGUACAAUUGCAGUUUUCACUCUUGAUGAUUAUCGUCCUUGCAAGUGGUCUCUAAAGCAUCGUUUUUGUAUGGGAGAUGCGUUUGGAAGGGACAGCUUCCUUCCCAACCGAGAUUAUCUGUCCUGGUUGUGUUUUUAUCGGAUUGUUGCUCUUGACUUGGAAAGAGGGGUCCUCUUCCUCGUUGAUAAGGAGUCAAAUAAGCUUUUCUCAUACAACACUAGCACAGAGCAACUUAGUGAGAUUAAAGAUGGUCGCCUCGGUUGGACCUGGGAAUGCUUUUAUUAUGUGGCAUGCUACUCAAAUCUCCCAGUGCUGAGCCGUUUAUGUGAUGUAAUUGAGUAG
rnacentral:rRNA from 1 species